CACCCAUUGGUUGCACUAGCACGGGAAAGCGCAGAAUGGCAGCAGAAUGAGUAGCAGAGUUAACUCAAGCAAGAUGACAACCAAAAAAUAAGUCCUGGUAAAGAAAGGAAUGGGGUGACCACAACCUAUCCUCCUGGUAGCAUCUAUGAAAUUAACUGAAAGAAUGAUGGUAAAAUGGAGUUGGAGAGCUGUGAAAGUUCUUAGGAUAAUCUAGGUGAGACUUUGAAAUUGAGACCUGUCUCCUGGCAGAAACCUUGUAGCUUACAAAAAAGUAGAUCUGUCUAUACCACUCUUAGAGCUGGUGUUCUUGGAAUGGGUGCAAAAUAAUUAAGGAGGUAGGUAGUCACUUUUCCUGCCUUUCGUUCCCUGUGCAUGUGUUGCACAUAUCUGGGAUAGCCAGUAGCCCAUAAAACUGUUCAAAGUUCUCAGCUUCUUCCUAGACAAGAUUAGCUGAAUUCAGCCUAAGGCAUUCAAGUUCAAUAAGAUAGAUUUUACUAUACUUCGUACCUAAAAAGUAGAUUUUCUCUAAAGCAAUCAAAGUACAUGCAUAUCAACACAUCACUGAAUGCGCAUCUGUAUUUUGGUGCAACUCCACAAGAUACUGCCUGUAAUCUACGAGUGUAGUCCCUUUUAAGAGUGAAGUGGGAGGGAAAAAAAGUUAUUUUAAUGGCUAGGAACACAUACUUUAUACAGAAAUCACUAAAUGUGAUAUGUUGCCAGUUUUUCCUAGAUCUUCGGUCAUGUUUAUUGGCAAAAUUUGUAGUUGUUUACAUUUCAAAUAUUCUUUUCUUAGCAGAAGGUUUUUUUCUUACCUAUUUUUUGCCUAGUGUCACAUUGUCUAUUAGUCUUCCAGUAAUGUUUUAAGACAGUUAAAAAAUCUGUAACUCCGAGUAGCAAUUUUUUUUUACAGGGAUUUAAGAACAUCACAAUAGUGAACGUGCAAACCCUUGUAACAGGACCCCUUUCAAAAAUAGAGCAUCACAAUGAGAAAGCUAAAUUAUAUACCUAAAAGCACCUCCUUUUUGAAGAACUCUUCAUCAAUCACUACGCAGUUCCCAUCAUCAUCCCACCAAAUUGACUUGAACUGAUCACUUUCAACAAUUUUCCAGAGUUUCUUCGGAAAGAUCUCAAGGCAGAAUCGCAAGCUGCUGUUUUAUCAUGUAGUGGAGUGACAGAAGAAAUUGAGAUUACAGAAUCAACUAGUUUAUCCCGAACAGAAACACAGGAUGUUUCUGCUAAAGAGAGAUCCAUUUCAG